CUCAAAUUCUCUUUUGAGAGAUUGCAUUUGUUUGUCUUGGCUGAGUGUGUGCUAUACACAUUGGAGAUGAAAUAAUGAAAUACUUUUAAAAUUACUAAAACUAUCCCUCUCUUAUCCCACAGCCCAAACAUGACAUACACACUGUAAUGGAACAGAAACAACAAACAAAGAUAUUCUAGCCACUGCACAUCUUCACACACACAGUUGUGUCAACAUUGCAUGGAAUCAAUACCUGACUGUCACAUCAUAUUAAUUCAGAAUGAUUCAAAACCUUUUUGUCACAUAAUAUAGAACUGAAGUAUGAUCUUUCAUAACUUACAUAAAAGUAGGUCUGCAUUUCAAAAUAAGGGGAAAGGAGAGGGUGUAUGUAUGUUGCUUAUAUAUUAUUGUUGUACUGCCUGUAUAAUAUUGUUCACCAUAAAAUACUAUAUUCAUGUAUGUUCAUUGUAAUGCUGGAACAGAGCCGGCUCUUGGCAUAGGCGAUAUAGGCAGCCACCUAGGGCGCCACCUGCUAGCAGAGCCGUCACAACACGGUAGGCAAACCAGGCAAUUGCCUAGGGCCCCGAGCAUGAGAGGGGCCCUAAGACGGACAGUCAGUUAGCCCCACCAUUCAACUACAACUAUUUUGGCCCAUUGACACAUUCAGACUCCCCCCUCGCCCCGCCCCCACGGGGCCCUGUGACAGCGCUGCUGGAAGCAGAGAAGAGCGGCUCGUUCAAAAUAAAGGAGGAAGCACACACACUGCAGGCUGCAAGGAAAGACGGCAAAAGAAAGGAGCAGAGGACAAAACGGGAGAGAGAUAAGAGUCUGUAACACAGCUGAGCCUCAUCUUACUCCACCACUGUUUGUCUUUUGUCACAUUGUAUCACAGAACACUUUUAGAGACGCAGCGCUUCACGUCACUACAGCCUCCUUCAUACUGCAGCCUGAAUGUUCACUGUGCUGUGCUUAAACACCUGCCUGUGUCUCCUCAUGAAGAUGCCACAACCUCCACAGAUGAAGGUCAUGUGGAGCCCUGUGAGGAAACUCCAGAGGACGUCCCAGCAGCAGUCCAACACCUGAGAGCCUCCACUCCUUCCUCUGCUCCUCCAGCACCUGACCUGGUAACAGAGGAAGGGUCCAAGGUGUCCAGGUCUCUCUGAUGAUCCUGUACUGUGGACAAACUUCAUAAUAACAAUAUUAGUCAUCACAGCUUGUGUUGUCAGUGGUGGAGGAAGUACUGAUGUUUAGCACUUAAGUGAAAGUACAAUUACCCAGCAAAAUAUAUACUCAAGUAAAAGUAGAUAUGCUACAUCAAUGAUCCUACUUAACCAAAGUCUUAAGUACUUACUUGUAAUUUCCAAGAGUUUAAAUUGAGGCAACUGAACUCAAGGAUUGUUUUUUUUAACUUGGGGAUACAUAAAAAAUACAUGAAAAAUUCUUUAAG
ensembl:lncRNA